rnacentral:tRNA from 1 species
GGGGAUAUAGCUCAGUUGGUAGAGUGCUUGCCUCAAAUGCAAGGCCCUGAGUUCUAUCCCCAGCACCACCA